UACGUAGGGACCAAGCGUUGUCCGGAAUCAUUGGGCGUAAAGAGCGUGUAGGCGGCUUGUUAAGUCUUGCGUGAAAUCUCGGGGCUCAACCCCGAGCGGUCGUGAGAAACUGGCAGGCUAGAGUGCGGGAGAGGAGAGUGGAAUUCCUGGUGUAGCGGUGAAAUGCGCAGAUAUCAGGAAGAACACCCGUGGCGAAGGCGGCUCUCUGGAACGCAACUGACGCUGAGACGCGAAAGCGUGGGGAGCAAAGAGG
rnacentral:rRNA from 1 species